CGUGGAAUACAGGAGUGCCUGACGUGUCUGGUCCAUGGGGUCAUGAAGAGUCGGACAUGAUGAAACGACUAAACAACAACAGCAAGCAUGUUAGGAAGCAAUUGCAUAAAAGUUUAAAAUGUUAUCAUGCUAAUCACAGCAAAUUAACAACAAAAUCUCACAUAUUUCAGUACUGUAUGUUGUUGUUGUUGUUUAGUCGUUUAGUCGUGUCCGACUCUUCGUGACCCCAUGGACCAGAGCACGCCAGGCACUCCUGUCUUCCAC